GGGUUGUGAGGUUAAGCGACUAAGCGUACACGGUGGAUGCCCUGGCAGUCAGAGGCGAUGAAGGACGUGCUAAUCUGCGAUAAGCGUCGGUAAGGUGAUAUGAACCGUUAUAACCGGCGAUUUCCGAAUGGGGAAACCCAGUGUGAUUCGUCACACUAUCAUUAACUGAAUCCAUAGGUUAAUGAGGCGAACCGGGGGAACUGAAACAUCUAAGUACCCCGAGGAAAAGAAAUCAACCGAGAUUCCCCCAGUAGCGGCGAGCGAACGGGGAGGAGCCCAGAGCCUGAAUCAGUGUGUGUGUUAGUGGAAGCGUCUGGAAAGGCGCGCGAUACAGGGUGACAGCCCCGUACACAAAAAUGCACAUGCUGUGAGCUCGAUGAGUAGGGCGGGACACGUGGUAUCCUGUCUGAAUAUGGGGGGACCAUCCUCCAAGGCUAAAUACUCCUGACUGACCGAUAGUGAACCAGUACCGUGAGGGAAAGGCGAAAAGAACCCCGGCGAGGGGAGUGAAAAAGAACCUGAAACCGUGUACGUACAAGCAGUGGGAGCACGCUUAGGCGUGUGACUGCGUACCUUUUGUAUAAUGGGUCAGCGACUUAUAUUCUGUAGCAAGGUUAACCGAAUAGGGGAGCCGAAGGGAAACCGAGUCUUAACUGGGCGUUAAGUUGCAGGGUAUAGACCCGAAACCCGGUGAUCUAGCCAUGGGCAGGUUGAAGGUUGGGUAACACUAACUGGAGGACCGAACCGACUAAUGUUGAAAAAUUAGCGGAUGACUUGUGGC
rnacentral:rRNA from 1 species